rnacentral:snRNA from 1 species
AUUUGCUAGCAGUGGCAAUAUUAUAGCCAAUGAGGUUAAUCCAAGGCAUGAUUAUUGCUAGUUGUAAACUACUGAUAAUGCUUCAUAUUACUUUUACAAAAUUGACUACAGU